AUACAGAGGGUGCGAGCGUUAAUCGGAAUUACUGGGCGUAAAGCGCGCGUAGGCGGCUUAUUAAGUCAGAUGUGAAAUCCCCGGGCUCAACCUGGGAACUGCAUCUGAUACUGGUAAGCUAGAGUUUUGGAGAGGGAAGUAGAAUUUCAGGUGUAGCGGUGAAAUGCAUAGAGAUCUGAAGGAAUACCAGUGGCGAAGGCGACUUCCUGGCCAAAAACUGAGGCUGAGGUGCGAAAGCGUGGGUAGCAAACGGGAUUAGAAACCCCAGUAGUCC
rnacentral:rRNA from 1 species